UCCAACGCAGGAUUGCUCUUGCCAACAGGUGCUACUUCGGACUGAGUAGGCAAUUGAAAAGUAAAGUCCUCUCUCGACGAACAAAAGCUAAACUCUAUAAGUCGCUCAUAAUUCCCGUCCUGCUAUAUGGUGCAGAGGCUUGGGCGAUGACAACAACCGAUGAGUCGACGUUACGAGUUUUCGAGAGGAAAAUUCUGCAAAAGAUUUGUGGUCCUUUGCGCAUUGGCCACGGCGAAUAUCGCAUUCGAUGGAACGAUGAGCUGUACGAGAUAUACGACGACAUUGAAAUAGUUCAGCGAAUUAAAAGACAGCGGCUACGCUGGCUAGGUCAUGUUGUCUGGAUAGACGAAAACACUCCAGCUCUGAAAGUAUUCGACGCAGUACCCGCCGGGGGAGCAGAGGAAGAGGAAGACCUCCACUCCGUUGGAAGGACCAAGUGGAGAAGGACCUGGCUUCGCUUGGAAUAUCCAAUUGGCGCCACGUAGCGAAAAGAAGAAACGAAUGGCACGCUGUUGUUAACUCGGCUAUAAUCGCGUAAGCGGUGUCUACGCCAAUUAAGAAGAAGAAGAAGAUUCACCUGAUAUGGCACCGUGCGACUUCUUCCUUUUCGGAAAAGUGCAUUUGCCCAUGAAAGGAAAGCGUUAUGCAGACGUAGAGGCCAAAAGGCUUGCACCGGCUUACUGGCGGCCAUACCGGCCAACGAGCUAAAACACUCGUUUGACAUGCUUUUUGGCCGUGCAAAAAGCUGUAUUGAAGCAGAAGAAGACUAUUUUGAAUAAAGUAAAUUGAUUUUGCCGAAUUGUUUUAAUUUUUUUUUAAAUCCUGUUUACUUUGGAACGUUGCUUGUACACCUUGCUUCUGUUUUUUGGAAGGCUUAAAACUGCUGUUUUCGUUUCUGCAUAGGCUUUUCUGAUAUUUUUAAUUGAAAUUUGCUCGACAGUAAGUUCUUUUAGCUGCGAACUUUAUCAUUCUUUGUAGUAACAUUGUCCACGUCCCGAAUUUCUAUUGAUUUCUAAUGCGUUAAAACUUUUAUUUUCAGCUCGUUGCCUAGAACUUUAUAAAUUUUUUCUUUGUAUUCAUUGCUGUUUUCUUUUUGCUCUCUCGCUAGCUCCAGCAUAGUCUCUACUUUAGCUGUUCUAAUUCGCGACACGUUUUUUCCCAGAUUUUAAAGAGUUUCCUCAUUUUUAACCACUUUUAAAAUCUCACUAGCCCAUCCGGUUUCGGAGGGGCAUGCUUUUAUCCCUUUGUCCUUGACAGUCGUUCAAUUUCCAUUCGUUAGCGCUUCUUUUAUUUUCUCCUUAGUGGGGCUCAUCUCCAUUUUUCCGUCAUUUCUCCUUUUUCUUACCUUCACCUCAUGAGAUGUCUUGCUUUUAUUUGGUGGCGUUUUCCGAUUGGCUUGUCUUUCGUUACGGAUUCGUUUUGUUGCUAGAUUAGCUGUUCGAUCCGCUUUCUUAAAAUAUCGACGGCGGAAGCCUGCUUGCCUACCUCCUAAAACCGCCGGCACUGGGCUUUUUACACCUUUCAUCGUAACUGCAAUGCUUUUUGUGUACUCGCAGACAUGUUUUAUUAAUUCCGGGAUCUUACCCGUACUAUUUUAUACCUACUGGAAGGUGAUUUGUCCAGCCGCUCCUAACCUGGAGACAGACGUUGCGCACUAAGCCGCUCACUCUCAGUCAGAGGCUUCCUGCAUUUAGUUCGUUUGACAUUUAUUUAUGGGCGAUAUCGAUUCACCUCAUCACGGAGACUUCGGCGGGCAGAUAUAGAUUUUAGCUUUAGCUAUUCGCUACCUGCUGACCUCACAGUAGUCCAAGCCCAAGCUAGCCCUGUGCCAGAAGGCAUACUAUGUUACUAUCUAUGUGCACACCCAAAGCGUUACCGGGACCUGAAUCCUCUUAUUAGUAGCAAAAGCUAAGGUUGCUUCUUUAAAAAUGCUAAGACUACCUCGGCUUGAGCUCUGUGUCGCCGUACUAUUCGUAAAAUUACAAGUAGUUUCCAUGAUGCAGACCCAUUUAAACAUGAAGAAUUACAUAUUGUUUCUCUAAUCCAUUAAACAAUAUAACGGCGAACUACCCUAAUAUUUUAAAAGAUAUACCUAAAGAAAAUCUAUUAGACACUAAUUUUCUUAAAUUUGAAAAGGAAAGCACAACAAAAGCUUUGGGGAUACAAUGGAAUGCGAUAUCUGACCAGUUCUCAUACACUGCUGAGUCAAUAUCUACACUAUCCGCCAUAAAAAAGAGGCAAUUUUUAUCCUCGGUGGCAAAACUUUUCGACCCCGCAGGAUGGCUUUCGCCAAUAAUGAUACAAACAAAAAUCCUUAUACAGUAAUUGUGGCUAGACGGAACUGACUGGGAUAAAAAUGUGAAACUAUUUUGUUUAGAAAAGUGGUCCCAGUUCGCGGUCAAUCUUAGUGAUAUCUCACAUACACAAAUCCCGCAAUGGGUAAAUUAUGCCCCAGAGCACAUUUAUGUGCGCACACAAUCAGACACAGCGACCACCAGUCAUCUACUAGUAGCCAGGGCAAAGGUAGCUCCUCUAAAAACAACAAGCCUACCACGAGUGGAACUAUGUGGUGCGUUACUACUAGCCAAACUAGUAUCCAUGGUACAAACACAUCUAAAUAUGGAAAAAUAUAAAUGGUAUUUCUGGUCUGAUUCCGAAAUUGUUCUAGCAUGGUUGGAAAAACCACCACAUGAAUGGCCGACGUAUAUUUCCAAUCGAACGUCACGACUUAGUGAAAUCAGCCACAUGGCGACCAGUGCGUAGCCAGUGCGGACAAUCCUGCCGAUCUACACUAGACAUCAAAUGAAAGUAUAAAUGUAAUAUAUGUACAUAAACUGGCAAUCUCAGAUCAUUCAUUUACUUUAGCAAUUUAUGUGGAUGCACCGUUAUGUAAAUAAAUAGUUAGAGAAAUAUUUGCACUUAUUAUUUAGACGCAAAAAAUAUUUAAUGCAUCGAGAGUGAUUUGUUUUUAUUAAGAGAAUUUAUGUUAUGGUGAACAUUUUUUUGUUCUGUUCUUAGUAAAAAAUUCAAAGAACUGAAGAGAAUCAGAUCUUAAUUGAAGAAGAAGGGAAGAGGGGUGAUGAAACAUAUCAAAAAAUAUAUGAAAAAUAUUCCAUUUCGAUCAGAGAGCAAUAAAGAUUUUUUAAUUUUUUGAUUAUCGAAUAGGAAAAAAGAGUUUGCAAAACAUUAUCUAAAUAUUUCAACCAUAUUUUAAGAUCAAGUAAUUUGGCCCGAUGAAUUCAAAUUCAAGCUAAGGAGUUAAAAAAUACGUGAGUGUGGUGUAAACCUUCUGAUCGCUUAAAACCACAGUGCAUACAAUCAUCAGUGAAACAUGGAGGAUGUUCUCUCAUGGUUUGCGGCUGUUUCUUAAAAUUUGGUCUAGGUAGUGUAGUUAAAAUCGAUGGACGAAUGACAGGUGCUUCAUAUGUUGAUAUUCUCUGCGAAAUUUUGAAAAUAAAUGCGGAAAAAGUGAACUUGUGCCCCAAUUGCGGUUUUCAACCCGACUUGGUCGAAUUGAAGUUAAGGCAAUUCAACUUCAGAUCAACCAAACUCUUUUUCGGUAUUGCGAACUUCAACUAAGUUCAGUCGAAGUAUGAUUGGCGUUGCCAACCUAAGAAAGAGAAUUUUGACAGAUAGUGAAACAGCUAAAAUUUUGUAAACGACAUAUUUAAACAAUUGAUUUCAGUUGUCGCUCGCGAAAAAGUGAAUAAACAUUAAAAUAAAUAAAAAAAUGGAUAUAAAUGUUGAUUUAUAUUACAAUGACGAAAAUAUUGGGGGCAAAAUUGAUGUGCUACGUAUACGAAAAAGCCUUCGUAAUCACUCAAAUCCAUUGGAGCUUCCAAAUGCAAAGUAAGCCAUAGUUUUUUCACAAUUGAGUGGCUUUUUAAUAAUAUUUGUUGCAGAUUCAUAAGUUAUUUUCGAUUAAAUAACGUGUGCGAGGAACGGCCAUACCUCCUAUAUUAAAACUAUGCGCAACUCUGCGUUUCCUUGCUGACGGUGGUUAUCAAAAAUGCAGUGGAAAUGGUUUUAACAUUGGGCUGGCGCAACCUACGAUAUCUUUAGUAAUUAAAGAGGUUCUAAAUAUAAUUGAACAACGUACAUAUUUGUGCCCAAUGGAUAAAAAUUCAAAUGACUGAGGAGGAGCAAAACGCUUCAAAAGUUUCAUUUAAUUCAAAAAGUGCUUUCCCGGGAGUAGUUGGUUGCAUCGACGGGACUCAUGUUCGCAUAAUUUCACCAAGAAAAGAAGUGCAACAUCUUUAUCUUAACAGAAAGGGCUACUACAGUUUAAACGUGAUGAUUCUUUGUGAUUAUAAAAUGUAUAUUCGGUAUGUGGAUGCUAGGCAUGCACAAUAUUUGCCAACACUUUCAAGUGGAAUCUCCGGAAGAAAUACCAUCUACUUCAAAUACUACAAAGACCAAUGAUGUUUUGGACAUAGAAAGAGAAGAAGAGGAUACGGCUCGAAUAAUUCGCAAUAAUAUUAUGACUUCCCUCUAAAUAAUUAAAAUAUUAAAUUUUAUUUAUUCUUUCUAAUGUGCUAUUUAUUCAGGCAUAUAUUUAAAUUUUAUUUCAAUAAAUUCAUUAAAUAACAAUAUCACUUCAUUUUUUAAAGUAAACUUACACUAUGGUACAAAAAUAUAAAAUAUCACUUCAUUCCAGAAUAAUUAAAUAUAAAAUACAAAAAAAUAUUACUUCGUGUAUUAAAUAACCAAAAAAAAUUAAAAUCUUUGCGAAGAUUUUAAUUUAGCAACUUUGAGGGGCUGCACCUUAAUUUUAAGUGUAUGGAGUUCAUGCGCCUCGUUUGUUUUCCUUUCGUAUAUCUCCAUUUUCCUUUUUUUAAAUCUGAAGCUUCUUUUUGGACAGUAUAUGAUUUAUGUUCAGUUUUCUCCAACUAUCCAAUUUGUUUUUAAAUUUGCUGUUGCGUUUCAGCCUGGAUUGAAAGGAAUUGCAGCCUUUCCGACUCCAUGCAAUUGUUCGCCCUCCUUAACUGAACUCUCCUGGAAGGAGUCGGGCGUUCCUGCACAACUGGAGCGGACAAUGGCGUACGUUCAAAGGGCACAUCGGCGACAGUAGGAGGUAUAUUCUCCACACCAAAUGCUGGCCCACUUGGUGCAACUGCUUCCACACCUAAUAAAAAAUUUUAUUUUUAGUUAAUAUUUUUAAUGUCAUAACCAUAACUUACUCUCGUCCCCAUUCGUAGGCAGUUCUGCUUGGUGGCCCUAAACAAUUUAACUGCAGUGCCACACUCUCCCACAAUUCUUUGUUAUUUUGAAUUUAUUGUUUCUAAAUUGUGGCUUUCCUCUUCCUACUUCUGGA